UACGUAGGGUGCGAGCGUUAAUCGGAAUUACUGGGCGUAAAGCGUGCGCAGGCGGUUAUGUAAGACAGGUGUGAAAUCCCCGGGCUUAACCUGGGAACUGCAUUUGUGACUGCAUCGCUGGAGUACGGCAGAGGGGGAUGGAAUUCCGCGUGUAGCAGUGAAAUGCGUAGAUAUGCGGAGGAACACCGAUGGCGAAGGCAAUCCCCUGGGCCUGUACUGACGCUCAUGCACGAAAGCGUGGGGAGCAAACAGG
rnacentral:rRNA from 1 species